UAUUUAUGUUUUUUUUAUAAUUGUUAUUAUUGACUGGUGCUGAGAGAGUGCCAAGGCACAUUGUAUUUCAUUGCUGUGGUACUUCGGACACAUUAGCAGUAGC